GACGAACGCUGGCGGCGGGCCUAACACAUGCAAGUCGUGCGGUAAGGAGUCCUUCGGGGCUCCUUAUAGCGGCGGACGGGUGCGUAACACGUAGCUAACCUGCCCUCGGCUGGGGGAUAACCCACCGAAAGGUGGGCUAAUACCGCAUAAUGUCUGGAGGGCGCAUGCUCUUCAGACCAAAGCCUUUGGGCGGCCGAGGAGGGGGCUGCGGCCUAUCAGGUAGUUGGUGGGGUAACGGCCUACCAAGCCUACGACGGGUAGCUGGUCUGAGAGGACG
rnacentral:rRNA from 1 species